GCAGUAUUUCCCAAAAGCAGAGUUUGUACAUUCCUAAUAAUAUUGAAAGACAGUAUUUGUUAUGGCACUUGUAUGCUUCAACACAGCCUGAACUUUCUGAGGUGGCGUUCUGUAAUUUCUUUAAGUAUCUUCAGGAAUUAUUGUCCAGGCUUCCUGAAGGACAUCCUAUGCUCUUCUCUGGAUAUUUCUGCCUUUUAUUUGUUCUCUGUCAAGAUGAUCCCACACUGCUUAAUACUGAGUUCCAGGCUCUGGAGAGAUCAAUCUAUUAGGAGCUGUUGUGUAUGUGUGGCGUUCUUGGGUUUUUUCCUUUUUUGGCACAGGUAGGCGGGGCGGUGCUUUGCAGGAUCCCCGGCACACCUGCGGCGCAUCAGACAUCAUCAGAGGGAGCAUUUUUAAAGAGCUGUGCGACGGACGUCUGGUGUCAAAGUAUUGUCGCUUCCACAAGUGCCUGCCCCGCUAUCCGCUCGCCUGCCUGUUGUUGUGUUCUCUGAUCUAAAACAGAGAUAUACCUCGCCUCUGCCUGUGGUUCCAGAAGGUCACUGCCCGUGUCUGUAUUUACAGUGUGUCAAAUCGCCCCAGUACGCCACCAAUCGUCCCGUACGCCCCGGGCUCUGUGUUUUGUUUUCUCCUUGUCCUCGCAGGUUUAGCCAGUCCCUGUAAAUAGCCCCAACCCUUGUAAAUACUUCUAUCUUGGCCUCACCCAACUGACUUAGAACUGCAUUCAACCCUCCAUCUUCAUCUUCACCACCGCCAGCGUCUUGAAUCCAGGGAUCCUGUCUUAAAUCCAAUCACUUCAUAACAGACUUUAAGAAAACAGACCAUAAAGUCUGUUUUCAACAGCACAAAAACUUGCCUCCUAUUAACCUCAGAAAGCCUUUCAAGAAG